rnacentral:lncRNA from 1 species
UAAAGAUUGUUUGUUUUAAAUUAAAGUCCGAGUCUGAGUCCUUCGUCUUUUAUAUGUUAGUGUAUUUGUUUUUUUUUUUAUAUAUAUAAUUACUCUGUCUAUUUUAAAACAAAGGACGAAAAAGAGGAGCAGAACCGGAAGAAGAUGGAGGAGGUGGAGAAGAAAGCUAAAGGAGGAGGGUACGUAGAUAAUCCACCAUAGUACUUCUAUAAUAAGAGAAAUAUAUAGAGGGAAAAAAAAAAGCAAGAUUGAAAGACGGCAUGGACGUAAAAAUCCAAUCCAGCGAAAGAAAAACACAGCACGACCUCGAAAAACAUUUACACGUCAUGUGAAUUAAGAUUUUUUAAAUAUUUUGUUAAUAAAGUAUUUAACUAAUUAAUUAUUUAGUAAAUAGAUUUAUGCUCACAGAAAGCGAAAUUUAGGUAUUCCUAAUCUUAAAAACAAAACACUAUCUCUAUCUCUAGGUUCACAAAGAGUAACAUUUUCCCAAGUAGAGUAAUGAUAAAUGACCAAAUGUACAUGUGUUUUUAGUGUAUUUUUAUCUCAUUUGUUGGCGUGAGUUGCUGGAGAUUUCAUGGUUUUUGAAGUAAAAUUUGCUCAUUUCGUGUUGCUUGUAUGUAAGAACGAGUUUGGAUGAAAGUGGAGUAAAGGAAGAAGAAUUGUCGGAAAACGGAAGGGAAAGAAAAGUUCCGAGAGCUCAUCUAUGUCAUGUGUCGCGAAGGCAGAUGCGCCAGGGGGGACAAUCGAGGUUCAAAACAGUGAAGUAUGGAGAAGGCAUGAAUCGCUUCGUGGAACAAAAAUUUGAAGUGUUGGGAGCUCGUCAAUGAGCCGCGCGAUGCGCGAUCAGCUCUCCUUUUCGAGAUUGAACUGAUUAGUUUCGCUAUGUAUAAACCUUAAUUGAUUUAAAUACAAAGUAAAAUGACUUCUUGAGGAGUUACACACCAUCUUAGGAGGCAAGAACGCAUUGAGAUCAAGCCGAAGUAUUCAACACGAGUAUUUCUCCUUUCUUCUUCCUAAUUUCCAUUAUUGAUUAUGAAUUCUAAUACUGUAUUUAUUCAUACUAAUAUGAGUAGCUAAUUUUCUUAUUUAGGAUUUUGAUGGAACUUUUUCUAGGAUGAAUUCUUGAUAUAUUUUAUUAUAAUUGAGC